GCGAGAAUCGGUUAAGUGGUAAACCAAUUGGCUCCAAACCAGUGACUGAGCGUUCGAAUCGUUCUUCUCGCGCCA
rnacentral:tRNA from 1 species